rnacentral:rRNA from 1 species
UCGAAACUGGCAGGCUUGAGUCUUGUAGAGGGGGGUAGAAUUCCAGGUGUAGCGGUGAAAUGCGUAGAGAUCUGGAGGAAUACCGGUGGCGAAGGCGGCCCCCUGGACAAAGACUGACGCUCAGGUGCGAAAGCGUGGGGAGCAAACAGGAUUAGAUACCCUGGUAGUCCACGCCGUAAACGAUGUCUACUUGGAGGUUGUGCCCUUGAGGCGUGGCUUCCGGAGCUAACGCGUUAAGUAGACCGCCUGGGGAGUACGGCCGCAAGGUUAAAACUCAAAUGAAUUGACGGGGGCCCGCACAAGCGGUGGAGCAUGUGGUUUAAUUCGAUGCAACGCGAAGAACCUUACC